GACUGACACGGACGCAGAGAUCCUCGGGCACCACAGCUACACGGUCGCCCGUCGCGUCGAAGGGGCAUCCCCCAAGGGGCACUCCCAACGGCUCGAUGGCUCGAGGGGAGCGAGUGGCGAGACCGGCCGUGAACGUG
rnacentral:ncRNA from 1 species